ensembl:lncRNA
AUCAGAGUGUUAUGGUCUAAUACUUAGUGUUUAGUCUCCAUGUUACCUGAAAUAGGUCAAACAAGAGGUCAUAAAUGAGGUCUACUGCCUUACUACAGAUAUAAAGGUCUACUUUAGGUCUAACAUUAGGCCUGACUACAGAUAUAAGCACUACCUGAUGUAUAGCAUUAGGCCUACUGCCUGACUACAGGUAUUAGACCUACUUUGGGUCUAACAUUAGACCUACAUCCUGACAACAGGUAUAAAGGAUUAUAUAUCUAUUUUAAGCCUCUGAAUAAAUGUAUUUUCUGGUUUAAUGGUUAACUCAGUCAUCAAAAUGUUUCUUUGUUUCUUCAUUGAGUGUCUAUAGGUCUCUUAAGGUGUUGCUAUUUAAGGUGAACACCUCAAAGAAGCUGAAUAUUUUCCAUUGACGUCACGUUGGUAUGAAACCUGUUUACCUCGAUGCUAGACCCUCCUCUUCCUGUCACACAAAAAUUGUUUCAGAGAAAUGAGACCACGAGCUGAAAACUUUCCACUCGAUCGAACCAAUCGCUGCUCGUGCUGUUUCCUCCAGUCAGGAUGGGAUCUCUGCAGCAGAGGUGUUGCUGAGAGUCAGACCAGGAGACAACAUCACCCUCUACUGUGACUGUACCAUAACUACUGGAGUAUACAUUUUGUGGUAUAGGAACUGUUCUCACACGUACCAGCCUCCUCUUGUUAUUUCAGCAAAAGAUUUGAUUUACAACCGUUUACCUGGAUAUAAUGCGGUGUGGAACCCCUCUAACAACUCCUAUGAUCUACUGAUUGAGAACAUCACUGAAUCUGACCUGGGACUCUACUACUGUGGGACUGUGGAGACUAACAUGGUGGAAGAAGGAAAACUAAUUAAACAGAAAGAGUUGAACCGCUAUGGAAACAUCACCACUAGGAUUUCACUUGAAACCAGUCCUCCUGAGUCGUCCUCUCCUCCUCCUGUAGACUGUGUUCUGUGUUGGAUGUUGCUGUUCAGUCUGUGUCCUGUGUCUGCUCUCCUCUCCUCUCUCCUCUCCUCUGCUUGUGUCUACUCCUUCUGCAGAACAACAGCAACAACUGAGACUCAGGUUCCUCUGAACAGGACCACCACCAGGGGAAGUGACAGCAGAGAGGAGACUGCAGUCAAAGAGGAAGGAGACCUGUGUUACGCCUCGUUAGAUAUCCGUCAAGGACAGAGGAGACCAAAGAAGAAGAAGAGAGUCCAGAACUCUGACUUCAGUACCUACUCAGCCAUCAAUACCAGCAGAGUGUGUGACCUAUACCAGCCUUCAGUACCAGCAGAGUGAGACCUAUACCAUCCAUCAAUACCAGCAGAGUGUGAGACCUGUACUAGCCAUCAAUACCAGCAGAGUGUGAGACCUAUACCAUCCAUCAAUACCAGCAGAGUGUGUGACCUAUACCAGCCUUCAGUACCAGCAGAGUGAGACCUAUACCAUCCAUCAAUACCAGCAGAGUGUGAGACCUGUACCAGCCAUCAAUACCAGCAGAGUGUGAGAACUAUACCAUCCAUCAAUACCAGCAGAGUGUGAGACCAGUACCAGCCAUCAAUACCAGCAGAGUGUGAGACCUAUACCAUCCAUCAAUACCAGCAUAGUGUGAGACCUGUACCAGCCAUCAAUACCAGCAGAGUGUGAGACCUAUACCAGCCAUCAAUACCAGCAGAGUGAGACCUAUACCAUCCAUCAAUACCAGCAGAGUGUGAGACCUAUACCAUCCAUCAAUACCAGCAGAGUGAGACCUAUACCAGCCAUCAAUACCAGCAGAGUGUGAGACCAGUACCAGCCAUCAAUACCAGCAGAGUGUGAGACCUAUACCAACCAUCAAUACCAGCAGAGUGUGAGACCUAUACCAGCCAUCAAUACCAGCAGGGUGUGAGACCUAUACCAUCCAUCAAUACCAACAGAGUGUGAGACCUAUACCAGCCAUCAAUACCAGCAGAGUGUGAGACCUAUACCAGCCAUCAAUACCAGCAGAGUGAGACCUAUACCAUCCAUCAAUACCAGCAGAGUGAGACCUAUACCAGCCAUCAAUACCAGCAGAGUGUGAGACCUAUACCAGCCAUCAAUACCAGCAGAACGUGAGACCUAUACCAGCCAUCAAUACCAGCAGAGUGAGAUCUAUACCAUCCAUCAAUACCAGCAGAGUGAGACCUAUACCAGCCAUCAAUACCAGCAGAGUGUGAGACCUAUACCAUCCAUCAAUACCAGCAGUGUGAGACCUAUACCAGCCAUCACCUUUGAUUGUAUGACUUAUCAUAUUUUUGUACUAGUGACUUUUGUAAUUUUUACUUUUGUCUGUCGCCUUUUAUUUUAGCAUUUUGCUUUUUAAUAAUCAUAAUAUGUUUUUAAGCUCGGGGAAAAUGUUUAAAUAGAUUUUGAUAUAGAUUCAGUUUGGACGUUUCAUUGGUGGUAUAUCAUUGUAAUUCAUGUGUGCAGUGUGAAGGAUCUGUUUUAAAAGCAAUUUUCAAUAAAUAUUGAUUCAGUUUCAUUAGAUUUUAUUUCAUUCUCUCCCACUAUGUCAGGGGUAUUCAUCUCUUACCCUACGAGGUUCUUAGCCUGCUGGUUUUCUGUUCUACCUGAUCAUUAAUUGCACCCACCUGGUAUCACAGGUCUAAAUCAAUCCCAGAUUAGAUAGAAGGGAACAAUGAAAAAACAGUGGAACUGGCUUGGAGGUCCAGAGAUGAGUAUGAGGACACUAUGGUCUCUUCCAGUUCAAUGUCAUGCAUUCAGUCUGACUAGGCUCCAGCAA